rnacentral:lncRNA from 1 species
UGCUCCUGUAUAAAUCCAUGUGAGAGAUAGUUAGGGACUUUCUGCCUCAGCAGGCGGGAGACGUGAGACGGCACAUAUCUGUCUGUGUUUACAGACUGCAACACACUUUCUAAUCCAGAAUAAUAAUCCUAAAUCUGAUUUAUUGUGAGGGGAAGAAAUAUGAGAAUAAAGAAAGAAAGAAUUGACAUCAUAAAACCAAGAAGGCACACAAUAAAAUCAGAUUUUAUCAUCACUUUUACAUUCAUGUCUGUUUAUCAGUGAAGACUUUAGAUGGUUAAUAAAUGUUUUUACUGAGGUAUAAUUAGACCUUUAUGUCAAUAAUUAGGCUGGGUACUGACCUUUAACCUCACAUAUCAUUUUUUGUAAUUGGGUCGCCUUCGUUCUGUGUGUGGAGCGGAUUUCAGAAUUUGAGAUUUGUUUUGUUUGUGGCUUUAUUUCAGAAAGUUGGACUGAAGGAGGAAACUUCCACUCUCUGGCUGCUUUACGGUCUUAAACGAGGCUACGCUGUAGUGACACACACCGCUGGAGCAGAACAAACCUGCGGUGGAGAAAUCUGCUCAGAGGAGGGAACGUGAUUCCUCAGCAGCGCACCUGUUUCGGCUGUGCAGAAGGAAAGCUUUUGUCUUCUGUUUGUACUUCUUCCAACGCCCACACAGACGCAGGCUGCAUCCCGUCUCCCGUCGCAGACAGAACGAGUCAGGACCACACUGACCGUGUCAGACCACCAGAGAUGUUGAAGAAGAAGAAGAAGAAGAUGAAGAAGAAUGGGACUAGCUUACUCAUCACGUUGAAGAGGUGGAUGGCUGCCAGUGAGGGUGUGUACACGUGUGUUGCUUUCAAACUUAUCAAGAGAGGAAGGAAGUAA